UACGUAGGUGGCAAGCGUUGUCCGGAUUUACUGGGCGUAAAGAGCGCGCAGGCGGUCGUACAAGUCGCGUGUGAAAGCCCCCGGCUCAACUGGGGAGGGUCACGCGAUACUGUUCGACUCGAAGGCACGAGAGGGAAGCAGAAUUCCCGGUGUAGCGGUGAAAUGUGUAGAGAUCGGGAGGAACACCGGUGGCGAAGGCGGGUCUCUGGGCAAUUCCUGACGCUGAGGCGCGAAAGCGUGGGGAGCAAACGGG
rnacentral:rRNA from 1 species